rnacentral:lncRNA from 1 species
AGGGAAGAACCUGGCUGAGAUGCACCUGCAACUGUUUGGAGCUGGUGAACCUUGGGCUCAGCACACCCUCGCUGCUGGUGGACACAGUACCAGCUUGCCCCUCACGAGCAGCUGCGAGGCCCUCGGGCAGCGGCAUGGGCGCCGUCACUUCCUGCCAACCCCACAUCCUCAUUUCCCACGCUUCUCCUUCCACCUUCCAUGAUCACUGGGACCUACUGCAGGACCCGCCUCAGAGGGACAGGGGGAAGCAGACCACCCUUUUCUUCAGAGAGUUCAUGGCCCAGGGAGGGAACGCUGGCUGGGGACAAUCACAAAGCCUCUCUGGUGCCCAGCCAGCGACAGGGACCCUCGGGGCUGCGGGGGGAGAGGACGCCCCUGCCCUGGCUGCAGAGGGUUGGGUUAGAGGUGAGCUGGGGCCGGAGAAGCCACAGGAGCCAUGUGGCGCCUUCUCAGGAGGUGCUUCUGCAGCUUCGCCUCCUCUCAUCUUCCAUGUGCUGGGAAGGACCAGCCGAGUGACAGCUGGGAGCGAACCGGUCGCCUCCCCUCGGGCUCUGGGCAACUGUCAACCUGCAGCUUUGAGUCUCUCCCUCUGGAAUCUUCUCUCUGGGGUAUAGUAAUGUUAUUACAUACGUUGGUUAUUUACAGCACAACAUGAAAAGGCAAUUUGUAAGGACUGGUCCAUCUAAUCAGGGUGAAUCACCAGUCUUCUGAGCUAUCGUAUUGAGUUUAGUUUCCGACUGAUUGCUAAAUAUCUUCACAUUGCGUGGAUAUUGCCCAGCUCUGCCUCCCUUGCUGCAGGUGUCCCUGUGGAUGCUGAGCUUCCACAGAGGGGCUGCUGCCCCCUCUGCCCCCACAGCUCAGCCUUUCUCACCUGGUAUUCCAUCGAGAAGGGCACUGCAGUUUUACCUCCCUUUGAGAGGCAGGAUCUUCUCAACCCACAAGAAGAGGCGACCAGGUCCUGGGUGACUGUCGAAUAAGCCUGGUCCAACUGGGAACAAGUCUUCUGGGCCCUAAUUCCCCACAUGGUGUUCUUGUCUGACAAAAUCACAGCCUUCCACGUUCAAGAAUCUUCAUUCAUCUCUCUCUUUCAGCGAAUGUUCCCUAAGCUGUCCCAUCACUGAGCACUGCUGCCAACAGCCCAGCUGCGUGCUACCACUUUGGUCUGAUGGAGAGAAGGGCUCAGAACCUCGUGCAAGUGGGAGGCAAGCACAGGUACUAAGGCAUCUUCCGGAGCCAAGGCAGGGGCCGCAGAGGGUCUGUCUCAGUGAGAUCCCACUGUCUUCCAGGGUUUGCCACCGCAGCAGUAAGCCCCGGAGGGGCCCCACACCCUAAGAUCCACGGGGGAAAAGGUGGAUGUCUCAGCAUGGGUUUGUAACACUGUUCCCUUGAAUAAGCAGAGAAUGCAGAAUUAGGAGCAAGCAUUCCGAGGGGCGGCCAGCUGUGGCUUCCGAGGGGCACCUGACCUCCCAUCUGCCUUCUGAGCACCAGCUGCCCCAGGUGAGGUGCGGGGAGUUCCACAGCUGUGAUGAGCGUCGCCAUGGAGAGCAGUGGCUCACGAUUGCUUUGAUUUAAAUUGAAUUAAGGUGAAAAUGAAUCAGGGCAUAACUCUUUUCUUUCAGCCAGAUGUCUUUCUGAACCGGUGUAUAUAUGACUUUAAAAAGUCACGAGGGUUUUGGGCCCAGGGAUCAGGCAGGAAGGAAAGGCAGUGCGGUGCAAGGAGGGGUGUGUUAGAAAUUGUAUCCAGAACCGCUGUGGCUUGUACUGAAGGAAGAAACUUCGUAUUUCUGCUUCUAUUUCUACGACAACACCAAGGAAGGUAUGUGGGGUGGGGAGCAGGUGCACACAGGUCCUUGGUAUUACCAGUGGUCCAGGAUUGUAUAAUUCCGUUUAUUCUGCCUAUCCCACACCCUGACCCUGACUCAAGUCCUGCAGCCCCUUGGUGCCCUGAGCCCCCUCCCCUGCCUGUUCCUAAGCAAUCAAUCACCCUAAGACCCCGUUCUAGGUUUCAGCAGAUGAUGAUGAGUUAAUCAGACAAAUAAGCCAUGGGGUAGGCAGGGGUUGUGGGUGCUGCUUCCUGGUCCCUCUGGCAAACCAGAAGGGAGCUGCCUCCCCGCAGUCCUCACUCUGUCUCCAAGCUUCCCAGCAGAGCCCCACAUCCAGCAAUUGGGCCCAGCUUUAACCAGACGGAGGAGCAGCCUGACGUCCUGCCAGCCCCAGAGGCAGAUGUGGGCACAGGAAAGGGAGGCAGCGAGGAGAGGAAGCCAAUAAAAAGCUGUUAGCAUCCGUCUGGGUGACCCUUUGCAGAACCUGCGUCAGCCUGAGGACGCAGGGAGAGGCUGUGCAGAGAAGCCGCUGUUAGCAUCCGUCAGGGUGACCCUUUGCAGAACCUGCAUCAGCCUGAGGACGCAGGGAGAGGCUGUGCGGGAGAAGCCGCUGUUAGCAUCCGUCAGGGUGACCCUUUGCAGAACCUGCGUCAGCCUGAGGACGCAGGGACAGGCUGUGCGGAGAAGCCGCUGGCCUUUGCCGCUUGAAAGCUGGGUCCCUGCUGCCUCCCCACCCCAGGGCUCCCUCGGAGAAAUUCUCAUAGAACCCCUAAGCAAUGAGCCGGGAAAGCACGGAUGCCACCCGGAAACACGCGGAGGAAGAGUCCAUUCAUGGGAACUUCUAGAGCCGGUCACAGAGGCCAGAUCCACGAUCAGCUGCAUGGUAGGGGCUUGCCCGCAGGACCGGAACCUUGUGGAAGAUACGACAUUCAACACAGACGUACUGUGUGCCUCCUGCGCGUGAGGCCUGGUGCUCAUCGUGCGUGUCCUUGCAUGCAAACUUCUACUCUUCAUCUUGACAUUUCUAGACAUUCAGCUGUUCCUCAGGAAACCAUUUACCUUCCCUCUGCCUUUUCUAUAAAAUGCAUGGACCGAGGAAUUACUAACUGCAUAGCACUUUGUUUGCUGGAUACCAAGUAAACGCACUCUUACCAUAUACAGGGCUGUAUCUAGGUGGCCAGUUAUUAGAAUAAAAACAAAAUACUAUGUUCAUCCGCUCAGAU